UGGGGAAUAUUGCACAAUGGGCGCAAGCCUGAUGCAGCCAUGCCGCGUGUAUGAAGAAGGCCUUCGGGUUGUAAAGUACUUUCAGCGGGGAGGAAGGCGUUGUGGUUAAUAACCACAGCGAUUGACGUUACCCGCAGAAGAAGCACCGGCUAACUCCGUGCCAGCAGCCGCGGUAAUACGGAGGGUGCAAGCGUUACUCGGAAUUACUGGGCGUAAAGCGCACGCAGGCGGUCUGUUAAGUCAGAUGUGAAAUCCCCGGGCUCAACCUGGGAACUGCAUUUGAAACUGGCAGGCUUGAGUCUCGUAGAGGGGGGUAGAAUUCCAGGUGUAGCGGUGAAAUGCGUAGAGAUCUGGAGGAAUACCGGUGGCGAAGGCGGCCCCCUGGACGAAGACUGACGCUCAGGUGCGAAAGCGUGGGGAGCAAACA
rnacentral:rRNA from 1 species